rnacentral:lncRNA from 1 species
CAAAAAGCUGCCUGAGACACAGGACAGGAGCCACACCCCCCUCACUGUCCUCCAGAGUCAAUUUACUCCUCAGAAAAUCGCCCGCAAUGCCAUGCCUGGUUUCUAUGAAGCCUUUGAAGUGGAUCUCACCCUCAGGAAAUCAGUAGAUGUCACAAAACUUCAUGUGCACACCCACAGUAGUUGGAAUAAUGAAGACGAUUUUCUUCCCAUGGUGACAGCAGAAUAUUAAGCCGGCUUCCAAGGCACAGGUCUGGGGAGCAGUAUGGGGAGUUUGUGCGUGUGUGUGUGUGUGUGUGUGUGUGUGUACUUGUGUGUGUGCACUUGGCCUGUGCAUGUGUAGAUUGACUGAUUCAAG